CAAAGAAAACAUUAUUCAGUACUCUCACUUUUGUUUUCACCUAGUUCUGGUCCAACAGUGGUUUUUAACUUUUAGGGGAACCCUCCAUCUUGAGAUUUUGGUGAUGGCACAUUCUCAUUUACCUUAAGUUUUUCACUGAGACAGCCUGUGCGGCCCAGGUUAAAUAAAGAGCCCUACCCUGAAAGGAGGGCAAACGUGGAACGAGUCUCUGCUUAAGAAGAUGACUCAGGAGUACCCGCUGUGGCUCAGCACUAAGGAACCCAUAUCCAUGAAGAUGUAGGUUUGAUCCCUGGCCUCACUCGGUGGGUUAAGGAUCCAGCUUUGCUGUGAGCUGUGUUGUAGGCUGAAGACAUGGCUCAGAUCUGGCAUUGCUGUGGCUAUGGCAUAAAGCUGCAGCUGUAUGCCUACGCCCACAGCCACAGCAACUUGGGAUCUGAGCCAUGUCUGCUACCUACACCACAGCUCAUGACAACACCUGAUCCUUAACCCACUGAGCGAGGUCAGGGAUUGAACCCACAUCCUCAUGGAUACUAAUCAGGCUCAUUACCAUGCGCUACAACAAGAACUCCCCUUAGGUAAAUUUUAGAAUCAGCUUUUCAGUUCCAUACAAAAGAAACAUGAUUGAAUAUCUAUUGGAAUGGCAUUACAUCUAUACAUCAGUAUUGGGAGAAUUGAUCUUUUCCAUUGUAAGUAUAUCUCUUUUUAUUUAUUUAUGAACUUACCACUUUUAAGUAAUUUAUAAUAAAACACAAUGGAAAACUAUUGUUUUAUAUACUUGUUUCUUAUAUACAGCCAAUGAUUUUUUCAAAAUCUGUGUAUGAUAAUUGGCAUAGACUCUGUUAUGAAAGUAAUUUUUUUGAAGAGGGAGAGAGAAUAUUUAUUAUCAGAUCAAAAUCAAUUUUGAAAAGUAGCUUAUAGCCAAAAGUUUCUCUUUAAAAACAGAUGACAUUCAUUUUGAUUUUUCUUGAAUGCAUCUCAAAAUAUAACUUUCUCCUUUAUGUUCUUUAUUCUCUUUUUGAGGCUUUGUUUAUUUGAUUAUGUGACAGCCUAUCACCCUGUCUUAUAUAUUUAUAAGCAUGAUAAUCACUUGAAAAUUACUUGUGUUUGGAGAAUUUUCUGACAUCCCCUGUGAUUUUUUAAUACACCCUGAAUAUUGUGAAAACAAAGGCUGAGAAUCACUGUACUUAGAUACUAACUUUUAAAUGAUAGGACAUGCUGUUCUAUGGGCUUCUGCUCCUUCAAACUUUUUCUUAGAUGUUCUAAAAAUCUCAUAUGUAUUUUUUUCAAUCUUUACAUUUAAGGUUUUUAAGCUUUGAUUACUGCUGUCUUCAGCCAGCCAAAAACAACUACAUAGAACUUUCAAAGCUUAUUAGUUCUGGCUAGGUUAGCUUGGGUUGAGUAGGAGGUUGAAUAGAUGACUUCUGAAAUUCCUUUCAACUCUAAAUUUUAUGAUUCUGGGAAUUUAUAACAUCCAAGAAUCACAGAAAGUUGGAACUGGAAGGGACUUUAAGAUAAUCCGGUCCAAGCCACUCACUUUACAGAUGAGGAAAGCUACCCAAAGUGAAGAGGCAGAAGUAGAGUUCCAGAGUUGGCGGGGGCGGGGGAGGGGGGAUGGACAGGGAGUGGCAGGAGGGCCAGACCUCACAGGAAUGGUCAGUGCAGUGACCUGAAGGAGGGAAGAAAGGAGAAAGGAGGCCACACACAGCUUUAGCAAUUGUUCCAGGAAACUUAUCAGAGGUUGGGCUGGGUGUGAAUGAGACCAGCAUCAGCAGCUGGUUUCUGCUUAGAAAUCAGUAGAGGUCACCCCAGCAGGUAGGGCUGGCCAGACUUCUGCACUUCCUUCCCUGAGCCUGGCCACCUCUCCUGCUUUGCCAGAGCAGGGUCCAGGCUGGAUUCUGUUUUGUUCACCUGUGCCUAACUCUGCAGAUUAGCUGGGUAGUGCUGCUAUUGCUGGGCCCUGCUCAUCCUCCAUGGUUUCUGGCCUAUUCAUGGCCUCAUGCUGCUUCUGGAUUCUUCCUUUACCACAUUCCUAAGGGCCUAUGUUUUUAUAGCCCUGAGUCUGGGGCCAAAACCCUGUGACUUUUCAGUACUCCUGGAGCUUUCCCACACUGGCAGGAUACACUCCGGACUACUUCAUUCUUGCUAAGCUUUCUGUGUCCUGCCGUCACUAUCUGCUGUGGCCUGUUCGGUCACCAAAACAAUAACAACAACAACAAUCCUGAGAGGCUCUGAUUAAACACCUCCUUUAUUUGUUGACGCCAGCCUUCUUGUUCACCACUCUGAUGGGAACCACCUUAUUCCUAGGGCCAAGCGCUCCACAUUAGUCUCUAAUAUCUCUUGUUUUUCUCAUGAGAUGUUUGAACAUAGUUGAUGGCCUUCUGCAUUUAUAUAGGGUCAGGUUUCAGGAGCUCUGUUUGAGUCAAUUAUGUGGAAAACCUUGGAAAAGAAAACACACAGUAGGAGGCAUCAACAGGCCCCUUGUGCUACUAGGACACAGCUUUUCCCUUAUGCUUCUUGGAUCGUGUGCUCAUUACACACACCAGCUGAAAAGACCACGCCUGGCUGUAUGCCUCACAUUAGGGAAAUCAAAUACAGGAGAAACUGGGUGUAUUAAGCAACUAAGAGAGAAUGGUUUUCCCAUGGUUCACAAACAUUCUCCAAUGAAAAUGACUCCUUGGCUCAUUUACGUGUGUGUGUGUGUAUCUCCACACCCAUGGCAUGUGGAAGUUCCCAGGCUAGGGAUCAAACUCGAGCCACAGCAGCAACCCAAGCCACUGCAGUGACAAUCUUGGACCCUUCACCUGCUGCACCAGCAGGGAACUCCUCAUUUGUAUAUUUCUAGGUCUUUGACAGAAAGUAUAAUUUAAAGUUGAGCCAUCAGGAGCUGUGGCCUAUUAAAGAGCAAUGAGAUAUUAAGAACAAUAGUUUGUGAAAUAAUUUACUUCUGUUGGAAAGGAUGAAUUUAUUUUGUCAUAUCAAAUUUAUGACCAGCUUCUUAGAAAUGCAUGAUCCAGUAAAAGUACAACUGUCAUAGCUUUUUGUGUUUUUGUGUUUGUUUUGUUUUGUGUCUCAUGGCUUCAAAAAUCCUCAGUUCCGUUUGGUUCAGACCUUUUGGUUUUCCUCCUACAAGUGUAAUCGUGUAAUCAUGUAAUUGUGACUGGUGAACUCUGGAAUCCAUGAGAUGCACAGGAAGAAAUGACGGGAAGGCCCGUCAUUGUGUUAGGGCCCCUGCAUUAUCUGUAAGGAAAACAAGUUGUUGUGGACCAUUCUUUGUUGGUAAGUGUCACAGUCAAGGAGGUGUCUAGGGGGUAGUGUGUUUAAAAGAUUGGGAAGAGACAUGCCUUUUUAAAACAUCUUAGGGGCCUCUUUUACAGAGCAGUUGACUUCUUGGACCAGAAUGUUCUCUCAGGUGGAUUGAGUGAAUCAUCUUAACAUGUUGAGCCAACAUUUUUAGCUAUGUUUGUGUGUAAAUUACUCCACAUCUCUCCCAAGACACAGCUCUGGCCUUGUACUUGAGUUUCUUUUACUUAUUUAAUUGUUCCAGGAAAGAUGGGCAUGCUUGACACUUUAGAAAUCAUGUGCAUUAUUUGUCUAAGUUAAAAACAUAUGUAUUCAAUCAGAGUGACUUAAAAGAAAAUCAGUGUUCCAGUAAGCACAGGAGUAAUUACUAUCCUUAGAAAAUACAGGGAAUUUUUCUUUUCCUGAUCCAAGUUUACUUCCUAAACUAAAUGUUUCUGGUUUUAUUGCCUUUCAUCUAACUUUUUCAACAUAUCUUGAAGAUUAGGAGCAAAGUUUACUUACAUUUUUAAGUAUGUACACAAUACCAAGGCAAAUGUAUCCAAUUCUGCAUUGGUUAUAUGCUCACUCUUGGGCAGCUGAUAAAAUCUCAUUUUUAGGAUGUUUGAAAUAUGGUAAGAUUAGAGUUUACUAAUUUGAUUUUUCUAAUUCCUUACUAUACGUUAACUUUCACUAAGUGGAAUUUCAUUUAGACUGUAACAAAUAGUAAAUUGAUUAUAAUGUAUCAUAAUUUACAUGUUGGGGGAAAAGAUGGAAAAAUUUAGAGGAUAUCAGGAAAGAAAAACCAUAACAUGAAGUAUUUAGUAACAGUUUAAUAUAACAUUUUGUUAAGAGUAACUUGUGUGUAUGUGGGUUCCAUUAUAAGAAUGUAAGAUUCUUAAGGCAAGAAAUAGAUCUUGUUCAUUUUUUUGUCUAUUACAAUGCUUUGCAUAUAUAUGUAGUUAAAUAAAUAUUUGUUAAAUU
ensembl:lncRNA